GGCAGCUUUCCUGGUGCAGAAAUUUAGGAGUGCACAGAGGGCAGGCAAGGUGAACGAACACUUGGCUUCGUGCGGGCGAACUGUCUACCAAGUCUGAUCGAUUGAGGAGAAAAGUACCGAAGAUUCUCCAGCUGGAAGGACUAUGUAUCACCGCAAGGAAGCCGACGAAAGGAUUGCUGAUCAUCAGUGCACCUCACAAACAUUCCGUUUUAUUUAUUCCACGAAAUUUCGCUCAUAACCUGCAAACAACAUUGCCGACGGGUUACCGCUGUCGGGAGUAGGUCUGGAAUGGCGAUGUAGCACCGAGCACAUCACUGAAUGCGAUCAGCUAUACGUGUUGAUAACGUCUGUAGAUCGCUCUCUGUUGAUUUCUGUAAGUAUUGAAGAUUUUUCACAAGAAAAUGCAACUGGAAUGGCACCACCCUCGCACACUUUGGUCGCAUUAUUCAAGUGUUA
rnacentral:lncRNA from 1 species